GUGUCAGCAGCCGCGGUAAUACGUAGGGGGCAAGCGUUAUCCGGAAUCACUGGGCGUAAAGGGUGCGUAGGCGGCAAAGCAAGCCAGAGGUGAAAGGCAUUGGCUCAACCAAUGUAAGCCUUUGGAACUGCUUAGCUUGAGUGCAGGAGAGGUAAGUGGAAUUCCUAGUGUAGCGGUGAAAUGCGUAGAUAUUAGGAGGAACACCAGUGGCGAAGGCGACUUACUGGACUGUAACUGACGCUGAGGCACGAAAGCGUGGGGAGCAAACAGGAUUAGAUACCCCAGUAGUCC
rnacentral:rRNA from 1 species